AGCAGUAGCCACGGUAACACGUAGGGGGCAAGCGUUAUCCGGAAUUACUGGAUGUAAAGGGAGCGUAGACGGUUAAACAAGUCUGAAGUGAAAUGCCGGGGCUCAACCCCGGAGCUGCUUUGGGAACUGUAGAACUGGAGUGUCGGAGGGGUAAGCGGAAUUCCCAGUGUAGCGGUGAAAUGCGUAGAUAUUGGGAGGAACACCGGCGGCGAAGGCGGCUUUUUGGCCUGUAACUGACACUGAGGCGCGAAAGCGUGGGGAGCAAACAGGAUUAGAUACCCCUGUAGUCCCUGUCUCUUAUAA
rnacentral:rRNA from 1 species